AUGGUAUCAAAUUAUUAAUCAAUUGGAACUUUAUUCUUAGGAUGUGUUCUUCGUGAACCAGAGAGGCUUGAUUCUUCGGAAUUAAGAGAGGUUUAUCCUCAAAUUAUCCUCCAAUCUUGUCAUCAUACUCAGGUACAUGACAAUUGGUAUCUAGAGCCGUUUCAAUUCUGCUGGUUUCUUAAAUGGAGGUUGCAGAUUUGGACGAGUUUUAUCCAACAGAAUUUACAGAAGCUGAGUUGUUAACACAGAAUAUUUAUGGCUUGGAAAAACUUCUAGCUGCAGUGUCAGAGAAGCUGGAGGGUGAACUUAUUCGACCUCCUAAUCAGUUAACUGCAUGGAUGAACAUCUUAUCAAGGGAAAUCAAGGAAAUACUGGUAAUGGAGCGUAGAUUAUAUGGUGAGAAUUCAGAAGAAAGUCUUGGAUUACUACAAUCAGUGGUUCAACAAUUAAAGACGAUGAAGAAAUACAUCGCUGACCACAUGGAACCAAUUCCUGUUGAUUCAGAUUCAGAUUCAGUUAGUGAUUCCACUCAGAAAUCUUCAAUUCCGUUAGCUGCAGAAGAAGAUGAAUCUCUCGAUUGCAAGUGAUUCCGCCGUUUCUCUUUGAAGAAAAUGAAGAUUCAAUGAUUGUAGAUCCACAUGAAGGAAAUCCCAUCUCUAAUUCGAGUAGUUCAUUUGAUAUUAAAGGUUCUCCAUCUGAAAUUGUUGCUAGCAAGAUGGUGGAGUAUAGCAGGCAGUUAAAAGAGUUAAUCAUCAUCCUCAGCAAAUUGAAUUGCAAAUGGUCGGAGUCGUGAAACAGGAAAGUGAUAUGCUGCCCAUACAUUCGAGGGAGUCUGUAAUUAAGUUAUGGAGUAUGGGGGAUGGUUGGAUUACUAUGUGGCUUUUCAUUAAGAUACCUGAAGCACCUGUCACUAUUGGUUGUUCGAUAGAGGAAAAAUACAUGAACCCAUAUUAUGGAAUUUUCAUUGUAAGAGUUUUUGUGGUGCAGAGGAUAUUAUAUUGCAGCUUCAACUUGGCUUAUCUGCUGCUACAAGGGUCCUUUAUGAUGAACUGUUGAAGGAAAUUGUUGGUUGGCAUGAAUUUAGAGAUGUAUCACUAACUUUCUUACUGGAAUUUAAACCUCUAAUCAUGCUUCUUUUGCCUAUUCUCACAGCUGUCAGCAGGGUUGUUUAUCUUUUGAGAUGGGUCUAUCCAAGUACUUUACAUGGGUUCUACCAAACUAUUCAAGCUCAUGUUAGACAAAAUUGUACUACGACAUUUGAGUAUCCUCCUUGGAUUGUUUUUCCCACUUUUACAUAUUCCCUAAGAUGAUGUAGUCGAUUGUUGGGGGAUUGUACAGGGUCAAAAUAAUUGGAAAAUACUACAGAUAUUAGAAAGGUUGACGGUGCUGUGCAGAUAAUUAUUUUGCUGGAGUCUAACUAUAUUUUGAUGCUUAAAUUCUCAGUUUUCUUGGUUGCCGUCGCGCAGUUUUAUCUCUCGAAAAUCAGUUCAUCAAUGCAUUCUCUAUUAGUUACUUCUGAGGUUUAUGAAAGACUGACGAUUCAAGAGAGGGUUAUAAUGACAGUUCAGCAUUCCAGGAGGUGUUGUCUGCAAGUUUUUUACUAUACCUGGUAUUUUACUUCUUGUUACAGCCAUGAGGUGGGUGUAUACUAUUUUCUUUCAUCUGGCUACUUACUUCCUGGUUUUGGUUACUUGUGGGGUUCCUGGAGUAUGGUUAACAUGGGUUUCACCUCAGUCGGGGGCUAUGACACGAACUGGCAUUCGGGAAACAAUCUGUUACUCGAAACUGAAGCCCUUCGAUAAUUUGCAGUAUUUCUCAUGAGUAAACACCGUUGGAACUUGUGUCAUGCUAUUGGAGUUCGAUGUAGAGAUGACGACAUGGAGAUUAAUAUUCAUGCCUCAGCAACCACGACUGAUACUUCAAGCAGUGUUUUUGUUAGUGCUUACCAAUCUGUGCAUGGUGAAGAUAGUGCGUGCCCUGGAGAGUUAACUUUACAGAUUGAUUUGGAGGGAGGACCUGCGAUUUUAUUAGCAUCUCACAGGGAAAUGGUCAGAUGACUCGGGCAUCUCAGCAUUGUUACCCAGCAAUGGCAAAAAGGCAUGCUGAAAUGUCAGUAGGUGUGAUGAGUAUCCAGGAUGGUAUUUUUGAGCAACUAAAGUUGAUACAUGGGCCUGAUAUUGAUCUUUGUAAAUGUCUGACAUGGUUACUCGGUGGCAUAGUGACGGCUAGUCUUCUUGGCGUGUUAGUGAGUAGUACAUAAUACUGAGACAUCACUAUAUUCUGACGCCUAUGAGUAUUCCAUCUUCAAGUUACAGGAACAUAACAAGGUGGUUAAAGACAACCAGUUCAGACACAAUCCCAUCCUCGAGGACAAUGAUGUUUUUCGAGGGGUCGGUAAUGUCAUGUACCCGGUAUUGUGUUGGAGUUCCCAUAUCAUAUUAGAGGGGUAGUUGGGGUAGUUAGUUGUUAGUAGUAUUUAGCUUAAUAAUAAGUGCGUUUAUUAGUUGUAAUGGUGGGUGAUGUGGCCACGUGGGCUCUUGGUAGCCAUUGGAUGUAGGGAUGGAAACCUAGCUUUAUAAGCCAGAGUCUGUAAUGAAAAUGGUAUCAAAUUAUUAAUCAAUUGGAACUUUUUUCUUA